GAAGGGUGCAAGCGUUACUCGGAAUUACUGGGCGUAAAGCGUGCGUAGGUGGUUCGUUAAGUCUGUCGUGAAAGCCCCGGGCUCAACCUGGGAAUGGCGAUGGAUACUGGCGAGCUAGAGUGCGGUAGAGGAGAGUGGAAUUCCCGGUGUAGCAGUGAAAUGCGUAGAGAUCGGGAGGAACAUCAGUUGCGAAGGCGGCUCUCUGGACCAGCACUGACACUGAGGCACGAAAGCGUGGGGAGCAAACAGGAUUAGAUAUCCUGGUAGUCCACGCCCUAAACGAUGCGAACUGGACGUUGGGAGCAAUCAGGCUCUCAGUGUCGAAGCUAACGCGUUAAGUUCGCCGCCUGGGGAGUACGGUCGCAAGA
rnacentral:rRNA from 1 species